UCAAUAAGCGGAGGAAAAGAAACUAACAAGGAUUCCCCUAGUAACGGCGAGUGAAGAGGGAAGAGCCCAAGAUUGAAAGCUGGCGUCUUCGGCGUCCGCAUUGUAAUCUCAAGAAGUGUUUUCCGCUUCGGACCAUGCCUAAGUCCCUUGGAAAAGGGCAUCAUAGAGGGUGAUAAUCCCGUACAUGGCAUGGAGCGCCCGAGGCUUUGUGAUACGCUUUCUAAGAGUCGAGUUGUUUGGGAAUGCAGCUCAAAAUGGGUGGUAAAUGCCAUCUAAGGCUAAAUAUUGGGGAGAGACCGAUAGCGAACAAGUACAGUGAUGGAAAGAUGAAAAGAACUUUGAAAAGAGAGUUAAACAGUACGUGAAAUUGCCAAAAGGGAAGGGUAGGAGGUCAGAGAUGCGUCUUGGGAUUCAGCCUUGCUUUUGCUUGGUGUUUUUCCCAAGUUGCAGGCCAACGUCGGUUUUGGGCACUGGAGAAGGGUGGAAGGAACGUGGCACCUCUCGGGGUGUGUUAUAGCCUUCUACUGGAUACAGCGACCGGGACCGAGGACAGCAGCGUACUCGCAAGAGCGGGCCUUCGGGCACCUUUACGCUUAGGACGUUGGCAUAAUGGCCCUCUACCACCCGUCUUGAAACACGGACC
rnacentral:rRNA from 1 species